GAUGUGAGGCAGGAGCUAGCCACC
rnacentral:siRNA from 1 species